rnacentral:rRNA from 1 species
UACGUAGGGUGCAAGCGUUGUCCGGAAUUAUUGGGCGUAAAGAGCUCGUAGGCGGUUUGUCGCGUCGGCUGUGAAAACUCGGGGCUCAACCCCGAGCCUGCAGUCGAUACGGGCAGACUAGAGUGCUGUAGGGGAGACUGGAAUUCCUGGUGUAGCGGUGAAAUGCGCAGAUAACAGGAGGAACACCGGUGGCGAAGGCGGGUCUCUGGGCAGUAACUGACGCUGAGGAGCGAAAGCGUGGGGAGCAAACAGG